rnacentral:SRP_RNA from 1 species
UGGUGGGCUAGACUGGGUGGUUCGGCGUCACCUGUAACUCGAAACCGUCGAUAUGCGAGGGGCGAAGCUUGAGGGAGGGGUUCUAACUUCGACUAAACCUAAGAACUUUACUGUGAAGCCUCGUCCUGCGGGGUCAGUAUUUGGUGUGGGGGCUAACUGGAGAGCUUGUCUUCACAUCUUAACCAUAGGCACCGGUUCAGGUCCGGAAGGAAGCAGACCUACUGUGGAAUUCUGCCGCUCGUGGGGGUGCGAAGUGGAGACGGGUUUUUGGAUCACUGAUCGGAGAAGGGGCUGCAACCGAAAGCGUGCCCGCCA